GAUGAACGCUAGCGGGAGGCCUAAUACAUGCAAGUCGAGGGAGAAGGUUGGUGCUUGCACCGACUGGAAACCGGCGAACGGGUGAGUAACGCGUACAUACCUGCCUUUAAGUGGAGAAUAGCCCCGGGAAACUGGGAUUAAUGCUCCAUGUGAUUACAGAUUAUAUUUGUAAUUAAAGCUCAGGCGCUUAAAGAUGGAUGUGCGUCCCAUUAGCUAGUUGGUAAGGUAACGGCUUACCAAGGCGACGAUGGGUAGGGGGCGUGAGAGCGUGAUCCCCCACACGGGUACUGAGACACGGACCCGACUCCUACGGGAGGCAGCAGUAAGGAAUAUUGGACAAUGGAGGCAACUCUGAUCCAGCCAUCCCGCGUGCAGGAUGACGGCCCUAUGGGUUGUAAACUGCUUUUAGAUAGGAAGAAACGUCUGGAUUUAUCCGGGCCUGACGGUACUAUCAGAAUAAGCACCGGCUAACUCCG
rnacentral:rRNA from 1 species